rnacentral:rRNA from 1 species
UAAUCCGACCUAGGCUCAUCCAUCGACGCGAGGUCUUGCGACCCCCGCUUUCCCCCGAAGGGCGUAUGCGGUAUUAGCGUUCGUUUCCGAACGUUAUCCCCCACUACCAGGCAGAUUCCUAGGCAUUACUCACCCGUCCGCCGCUCUCAAGAGAAGCAAGCUUCUCUCUACCGCUCGACUUGCAUGUGUUAGGCCUGCCGCCAGCGUUCAAUCUGAGCCAGGAUCAAACUCU